rnacentral:rRNA from 1 species
AUACGUAGGGGGCGAGCGUUGUCCGGAAUGAUUGGGCGUAAAGGGCGCGUAGGCGGCCCGGUAAGUCUGGAGUGAAAGUCCUGUUUUUAAGAUGGGAAUUGCUUUGGAUACUGUCGGGCUUGAGUGCAGGAGAGGUAAGUGGAAUUCCCAGUGUAGCGGUAAAAUGCGUAGAGAUUGGGAGGAACACCAGUGGCGAAGGCGACUUACUGGACUGUAACUGACGCUGAGGCGCGAAAGUGUGGGGAGCAAACAGGAUUAGAUACCCUGGUAGUCCACACUGUAAACGAUGAAUGCUAGGUGUAGGGGGUAUCGACCCCUUCUGUGCCGCAGUCAACACAAUAAGCAUUCCGCCUGGGGAGUACGGCCGCAAGGUUGAAACUCAAAUGAAUUGACGGGG